UACGUAGGGUGCAAGCGUUGUCCGGAAUUAUUGGGCGUAAAGAGCUCGUAGGCGGUCUGUCGCGUCUGCUGUGAAAACUCGGGGCUUAACCCCGGGCCUGCAGUGGGUACGGGCAGACUAGAGUGCGGUAGGGGAGACUGGAAUUCCUGGUGUAGCGGUGAAAUGCGCAGAUAUCAGGAGGAACACCGUGGCGAAGGCGGGUCUCUGGGCCGUAACUGACGCUGAGGAGCGAAAGCGUGGGGAGCGAACAGG
rnacentral:rRNA from 1 species